UCGUAAGGUACCGUCAACUCUCAAUAAAUUGAAAGAAUUCGUCCCUUAUAAAAGUAGUUUACAACCCAUAGGGCAGUCAUCCUACACGCGGGAUGGCUGGGUCAGGCUUUCGCCCAUUGCCCAAUAUUCCUUA
rnacentral:rRNA from 1 species